UUGGCAGGGUAGCCCACCGAAGGGGGACAUCUCGAAGAGAAGCAGCAAGACCUCGGGAUCCGGUGGUUCAUUUUGGUUGUCGCCUGUGAGGCCAGCAUCUGAGCAUAAGAGGAAGCUAGGAGCUGUAUUGAAAAGAGAUGGCACCAAGGACAGCAAAUGCUGAUGAAGAGAAGGGAUGGACAAGCGUUUUCUUGUGGUUAAUACCUAAGGGACGGGAUGAAACAAGCCAAAAUGCAGCGGCCCCUCGAUAUCGCCAGGAACUGCUACAGGAGGAGGCGUUCUGGCACGGGUAACUAAGAUUAAUUGCCACGGCUGAAGUUGAAGAGACUAUAUAUGAAUAUAAGCAAGCUGAAGUAUUAAAAUCAAAUGGAGCCAAGUGAAAGCUGUCUCCCUCUGCCAGAAAAAGGGAAAGCCCGUUCCUCCUGGCGAGGAAGGAUCGCC